CAGAUCAAACAUUCCCUGAAGUGUGGUAGAAGGCAGGAAGAAUGACACUUGCUAAUUUGAAUUUCAGAAAGCGCCUAAACUUCAUUCUGAUCUCCAGGUUCUGGGACUUCCUCCAGCUGGUUCAUGUAUUGUAUUGACAUGUGAUAACCUGCAGUGGUCACAGGGAUCCAGACUUCAUCACCCAUAAAUUUGGAGUUGCCCAUCGUUAUAAAACUCCCUUAAUUUCUCUGGAAGCCAAACAGAAGGUCAGAGUUUUUCCCAUGUGGAGCAAUUUCUGCACUGAUGCUUCUGGAAUCCACAGCCCUUUCUGCACAGCAGUUAAUGAACUGAGAUCCAAGAGAAGCGUGAGUUUAUGUUCUAAAUGAUGGCUCUGAUUAGCAUGCAAGAACACUUAAAUGAAAAAUACUGAUGAAAGCAUACAUAUUUUCCACUGAAAGCUUCUUUAUUUUAUAUUCAUGCUUCAGAGAACAUAACUCUCACUAUGGAAUACUUGCAUAAUGUGAAUGCUGGAACGUGUGCAAAAUGUGAAUGCUGGAACAUUUCUGUCACAUCACGAGAAGCUGGCCUGAGUCUGUCCAUCCUCUGCACCUGGGAGUGAUCUCUUGGAGCACUCACUGGAUCUGUACACUGUGCAUUUCAUUUUCUAUAGUUUACUUUUGUAGUAUUUGUUAAUCCUGUAGUCUUCAAGAAAGCUUUGUCCUGCUGGGGUUUGGAUCCAGCCAGAGCUUAUUGAUACACAUAGGUUUUAUGGGGACUUGCACAGGUCUUAGUGAGAGAAUCACAAACUGCAGAACUGCACAAACUGCAGAAGGGUUUGGAAACAGCAUGAAGACAUUAGUAUUAUGAAAAAUGGGAUAUGAAAGUUUAUAAUCUACCUUCACUUUAAUAUCUUAAUAGAAAAAAAUCCUGCAUGUGUAAAAGUGGGGGGCUCACAAUGGCUAAUUUAGCCUUUUUUUUUGGUCUGAAACUGUCCUUGUGCUUGGUAGCAAGAGAGGCUCUGGCAGAGGGUAUUUCAAAGCAGGAGAUAUUGCAUAAGGAAGUUAACCCCUGAGGCCAAGGAUGGCCUUUAUAAAUACCCUUCACUAAAACAUUCAUAUUUUUACUCAGACAUGUGGUAUACAAACCUGAAUUUAUCUGCCUUAGGAGCUGAUUAAACACCUUGUAAAAGCCAGAAUUAUGUACCCAAUUAAAGUGUUUGUUUCUAAGAGAUGGUAUGUUAUAACCUCUUGGGAAAAUCCUAGAGUCUGCUAUGUAUUGCAUAAUUAAAGAAACACAAAAACUAUGAAAUGAAAAACCAGACUGAAAGAAUAUAAUAAUUUUUGAUUGCUGUUAUUUUUUAAAAUUAAAGCUG